AGCGAACGCUGGCGGCAGGCCUAACACAUGCAAGUCGAGCGGCCGUAGCAAUACGGCAGCGGCAGACGGGAGAGUAACACGUGGGAACGUGCCCAUCAGUUCAGAACAACCCAGGGAAACUUGGGCUAAUACCGGAUACGCCCUUACGGGGAAAGAUUUAUCGCUGAUGGAGCGGCCCGCGUCUGAUUAGCUAGUUGGUGAGGUAACGGCUCACCAAGGCGACGAUCAGUAGCUGGUCUGAGAGGAUGAUCAGCCUCACUGGGACUGAGACACGGCCCAGACUCCUACGGGAGGCAGCAGUGGGGAAUAUUGGACAAUGGGCGCAAGCCUGAUCCAGCCAUGCCGCGUGGAUAAUGAAGGCCCUAGGGUUGUAAAGUCCUUUCGGCGGGGAAGAUAAUGACGGUACCCGCAGAAGAAGCCCCGGCUAACUUCGUGCCAGCCGCCGCGGUAA
rnacentral:rRNA from 1 species